rnacentral:rRNA from 1 species
CGCGUAGGCGGCCCUCCUAGUCGCGUGUGAAAGCCCCGGGCUCAACCUGGGAACGGCGCGCGAAACGGGGGGCUGGAGUUCGGGAGAGGAGCGUGGAAUUCCCAGUGUAGAGGUGAAAUUCGUAGAUAUUGGGAAGAACACCGGUGGCGAAGGCGGCGCUCUGGACCGAGACUGACGCUGAGGCGCGAAAGCGUGGGGAGCAAACAGGAUUAGAUACCCUGGUAGUCCACGCUGUAAACGAUGUGUGCUAGACGUUGGGGAGCCUAGCUCUUCGGUGUCGCAGCUAACGCUUUAAGCACACCGCCUGGGGAGUACGGCCGCAAGGUUAAA